AUUACCCUGCCCCCCCUAUGCAUCAUCAUUGCUGCUACUGCUGCAAUCCGGACGCCAUUAGGGACAUUAUUCGAGAAAGUUUAUUUCAAUCAUUAUUUGAUUUACUAAAUAUGGAAUAAAAAUAUUUUCUGUUGUAGAAAAUGUGUACUGUCUUGUAUGUUUCUUCUGUUUCAGGUGUGAAGGUUUUUCCGCUGGGGUUUUCUCCUUCACGCAGAUUGGCAACAUAAUUGGCGAUCCCCAGCACCAUUGGCUUUAAUUGGCAUUACUAAGCAUCA